rnacentral:rRNA from 1 species
CGGCGAACGGGUGCGUAACACGUGGUAAUCUGCCUUCUGGUGGGGAUAACCCGACGAAAGUCGGGCUAAUACCGCAUAUGGCCUAUGGGUCAAAGCAGCAAUGCGCCAGUUGAUGAGCCCGCGGCCCAUUAUUUAAUCCUAGUUGGCGGGGGUAAUGGCCCACCAAGGGUACGAUGGGUAGCUGGUCUGAGAGGACGAUCAGCCACACUGGGACUGAGACACGGCCCAGACUCCUACGGGAGGCAGCAGUGGGGAAUAUUGCGCAAUGGGCGAAAAGCCUGACGCAGCCAAUCCGCGUGGGUGAUGAAGGCCUUCGGGUUGUAAAGCCCUGUCGUGAGGGACGAAGUUCUGACGGUACCUCACAAGAAAGCACCGGCUAACCCCGUGCCAGCAGCCGCGGUAAUACGGGGGUGCAAGCGUUGCUCGGAAUCACUGGGCGUAAAGCGUCCGCAGGUGGAGAGGAAAGUCGGUCGUGAAAGCCCGAGGCUCAACCUCGGAACUGCGAUCGAAACUUCCUCCCUCGAGUUCGGGAGAGG